rnacentral:lncRNA from 1 species
GUCUCUAUGGAUUUUAAUUUAAGCUCAUUUCACCAUCCUUUAACCUAAUAGACUAUUUUUUCAUAUUAAGGUCCAAUUUUAACCUAAAGUCUAUAUGUCCAGUUUUAAUUAAACGAUCAUAUAGCAAAUAUUUUGGCAUCCAUCAAACAUAGAACAAAAAUACAAUGCAAAAAAUUAAUUCUAACUAUUACAACCCUCCUGCAACUAAUAAAUUGAAAGAAAAACAUCUAAGACUAAGCUAUAGUGUACAAAAUAGAUCAAAAUACAUAGAAAUCCAAAAUUAAGGCAAAUAUGGUUGAAGAGCUGAUCGGGUGAGGUCACAUGCCAAUCUCAGCACAGAGUUGAUCGGCUCUAGGGCUUGAUCUGGCUGGUUCUAUGAUUUUCCUUGAAGUUCUCAUGCCUCGAAGCCAAUUUUGCAUUCAUAGAAGGCCAAAAAUCGAUUAAAAACACAAGAUAAUGAAAUAAUAACAUAGAAAAAAAUUAAAUGGACUAAAACACAUAAGAAAUAAUAUAAAUAUAAAAAAAGAAGAAACUGGCAGAAGGCUAGAACAUAUUACAUGACAGAUUCUAGAUUUGAACAUACAACCCUAGAACUUUCAUGUAAUCACAUAAUCAUUCAUAAAAAGGACACAAAUCAUAUAACCCUAAUCCUUCUCAUUAUUAGAUUCAAAAUCAAGCACAUACAUAUUAUCAUAUUCAAAUCCCAAGAUAGAUUAUAUCAUCAUAUUCAAAAUCUAAUAAAAUCAUAAACAUGUUAAGUGAGGAGAAACCUUAACCUAAUCAUGCAAAUCA